rnacentral:rRNA from 1 species
AACGAACGCUGGCGGCAGGCUUAACACAUGCAAGUCGAGCGCCCCGCAAGGGGAGCGGCAGACGGGUGAGUAACGCGUGGGAAUCUACCGUACCCUACGGAAUAGCUCCGGGAAACUGGAAUUAAUACCGUAUACGCCCUACGGGGGAAAGAUUUAUCGGGGUAUGAUGAGCCCGCGUUGGAUUAGCUAGUUGGUGGGGUAAAGGCCUACUAAGGUGACGAUCCAUAGCUGGUCUGAGAGGAUGAUCAGCCCCAUUGGGACUGAGACACGGCCCAAACUCCUACGGGAGGCAGCAGUGGGGAAUAUUGGACAAUGGGCGCAAGCCUGAUCCAGCCAUGCCGCGUGAGUGAUGAAGGUCUUAGGAUUGUAAAGCUCUUUCACCGAUGAAGAUAAUGACGGUAGUCGGAGAAGAAGCCCCGGCUAACUUCGUGCCAGCCGCCGCAGUAA